GACGAACGCUGGCGGCGUGCUUAACACAUGCAAGUCGAACGGAAAGGCCCCUUUGGGGGUCCUCGAGUGGCGAACGGGUGAGUAACACGUGAGUAACCUGCCCUUGACUUCGGGAUAACUUCAGGAAACUGGGGCUAAUACCGGAUAGGAAUCCUUGCUGCAUGGUGGGGGUUGGAAAGCUUCGGCGGUUUUGGAUGGACUCGCGGCUUAUCAGCUUGUUGGUGGGGUAGUGGCUUACCAAGGCUUUGACGGGUAGCCGGCCUGAGAGGGCGACAGGCCACAUUGGGACUGAGAUACGGCCCAGACUCCUACGGGAGGCAGCAGUGGGGAAUAUUGCACAAUGGGCGGAAGCCUGAUGCAGCAACGCCGCGUGCGGGAUGACGGCCUUCGGGUUGUAAACCGCUUUCAGCAGGGGCGAAGCUUUUGUGACGGUACCUGCAGAAGAAGCACCGGCUAACUACGUG
rnacentral:rRNA from 1 species